rnacentral:rRNA from 1 species
GAUCCUGGCUCAGGAUGAACGCUAGCGGCAGGCUUAAUACAUGCAAGUCGAGGGGCAGCAGGGUAGCAAUAUCGCUGGCGACCGGCGCACGGGUGCGUAACACGUAUACAAUCUGCCUUUAACAGGGGGAUAGCCCGGAGAAAUCCGGAUUAAUACCCCAUAAUAGUAGAACUGGCAUCAGUUUUAUUUGAAAGCUCCGGCGGUUAAAGAUGAGUAUGCGUCUGAUUAGCUAGUUGGUGAGGUAACGGCUCACCAAGGCGACGAUCAGUAGGGGAUCUGAGAGGAUUAACCCCCACACGGAUACUGAGACACGGAUCCGACUCCUACGGGAGGCAGCAGUAAGGAAUAUUGGACAAUGCCCGCAAGGGUGAUCCAGCCAUGCCGCGUGCAGGAAGACGGCCCUAUGGGUUGUAAACUGCUUUUACACCGGAGAAAACCUCCCCUUCGUGAGGGGAGCUGAUAGUAUGGUGAGAAUAAGCAUCGGCUAACUUCGUG